UCAUACUUCAGGCAAAUCUAAUUUGGCUACAAGUUUAAAGGACAGUGUCUGGAAUAUUGUAAGCGGUCAACAUCUGCUUGUAGAAUGAAGGACACUUUGUGGAAAGUUUUCUUUCUUAUUGAACCAAAGGGGGGCAGUGAAAAGAAACUAGAAUUUCUACCUGGAUCUUGCUCAUUUCAAAAACCAGAAGAACCUGUGUAACUGGGCAACAUAGGAAGAAGGAAGAUUGGAAGACUUCUUUGGAAAUCCCAUGGGAAUAGAGACACAGGAAAUAGCAUUCCCAAAUUUUCUAGAACACGGUACAUGCUGGAGAAGCUGGAAUCUGGGGAUGAAGCAAAAGAAGAAUGAGAAAAGCUUGAUCGAAAGGGAUUCCAGGUAAGCAUACAGCUGAUCUUGAUUAAAAUGAGGAGAUACCAUAUUAGAAAUUUAUUGGUUAGCUAACAGGCAGGCAAUGAUUGGUCACUGAGAAAACUAAUACUCAGGGAGGAAGGACCUGAGUUUUGUUUGUUUGUUCGUUUGCUUGUUUUGUUUUUAAUGCAAUAAUGGAUAAACACUUCCCAUUUCUUUUGUAGAGAUGUACCCAGUGGCAGAGUCAAGUUGGAAACCAUAUAUACAAGAUGGAAUGGUUGUGCACUUGACAUUUCACAGGCUCUCUUCUCCCUUUCCCCACCAUCUUCCCUAGAAGCAACUCCAUAUCAUAGAAAGGUGGUUGUGCUUCCCUAUCUCACCACACUGACCCUUUAUUUAGUGAAGAUGGAGAUGGAAAGGAAAAAGGAAAAAAAAAAUCAAUGCAUUUUCCAUACUAGCAGCUGGUGUGCAUAUCACCCGGGACUCAAGUCUAAGGGUAAGUAAGGUCUUAUUUUAUUUUUUUUUUAAAUCAGUUCACAAAGGAAACAAACAGUAGGGGGUUAGGAACAGAGAUCUGU
rnacentral:lncRNA from 1 species